rnacentral:rRNA from 1 species
GAGCAGCAGCGCNCNAUUACCCACUCCCGGCACGGGAGGUAGUGACGAAAAAUAACGAUACGGGACUCAUCCGAGGCCCCGUAAUCGGAAUGAGAACACUUUAAACCCUUUAACGAGUAUCCAUUGGAGGGCAAGUCUGGUGCCAGCAGCCGCGGUAAUUCCAGCUCCAAUAGCGUAUAUUAAAGUUGUUGCGGUUAAAAAGCUCGUAGUUGGACUUGUGUCCCACGCNGUCGGUUCACCGUUCGUCGGUGUUUAACUGGCAUGCCGUGUGGACGUCCUGCCGGUGGAUGCGGCCGGCCGUGGGCCUCUGGUCUGCGUGUCGGCGGUCCGAUUGAAUCCUACCGCGGUGCUCUUUACCGAGUGUCGAGGUGGGCCGGCACGUUUACUUUGAACAAAUUAGAGUGCUCAAAGCAGGCAGUUGCAAGCCUCAAUACUGUGUGCAUGGAAUAAUGGAAUAGGACCUCGGUUCUAUUUUGUUGGUUUUCGGAACCUGAGGAAAUGAUUAAAAGGAACAAGCGGGGGCAUUCGUAUUGCGACGUUAGAGGUGAAAUUCUUGGAUCGUCGCAAGACGGACAUAAGCGAAAGCAUUUGCCAUGAGUGUUUUCAUUAAUCAAGAACGAAAGUUAGAGGUUCGAAGGCGAUCAGAUACCGCCCUAGUUCUAACCAUAAACGAUGCCAGCCAGCGAUCCGCCGAAGUUCCUCCGAUGACUCGGCGGGUAGCUUCCGGGAAACCAAAGCUUUUGGGUUCCGGGGGAAGUAUGGUUGCAAAGCUGAAACUUAAAGGAAUUGACGGAAGGGCACCNCCAGGAGUGGAGCCUGCGGCUUAAUUUGACUCAACACGGGAAACCUCACCAGGCCCGGACACCGGAAGGAUUGACAGAUUGAG